rnacentral:misc_RNA from 1 species
GAUGAAGAAGGUAGCGAAAUGCGAUAAGUAGUGUGAAUUGCAGAAUUCAGUGAAUCAUCGAAUCUUUGAACGCACAUUGCGCCCCUCGGUAUUCCGUGGGGCACGCCUGUUCGAGCGUCAUUUACACCCUCAAGCGCAGCUUGGUGUUGGGCGUCUGUCCCGCUCUCCGUAGCGCGGACUCGCCUCAAAGUCAUUGGCGGCGGUCGUGCCGGCUCCUCGCGCAGCACAUUUGCGCUUCUCGGAGGCCCGGCGGAUCGGCAUCCAGCAAGCUACUUUUUAUGACUUGACCUCGGAUCAGGUGAGGAUACCCGCUGAACUUAAGCAUAUCAAUAAGCGGAGGA